rnacentral:misc_RNA from 1 species
GAAGAACUAUUUUAUGAACAAAUGCAUGUUGUCAGCAGCAGACUAUUAAUAACUUUACACACAUUAUGCACAAUUAUAGUUACAUAUGCAAAAAAUCAUUCAACCAACUAGCAGUGCUUUGAUUGAAGUAGGAUGUCAAGGAGAAACAUUNCAUUGACAUCUGCAGAUAGUUGCACUUAAGAGCUGUUUUGCUUGUCACUCUUCUCCAGAGAUAUCAGAAGAAGAUCUUCAUCGGUACCAAAGGAUUUGCGUGCUUCUUCUAAGCAUUUUGAUGAGAUCCUCUGACUUUUCCUAGAACUGGCAGGAUCUCGAAUCUCAAACUCAUCUGCUCCAGCAUCAUAACCACAUAUCACAACAUAAUGACCAGUAUAGUUUGAGUUGCUACCAUUCAAGCCUGAUAAGAUAAAAUCCUCCAUCCAAGACCGACUUAAUUUGUACUGGUCAACUAAAGCAAUUGCAAUAUAUUUCCCGGACAAAAUCAAAAGAGAAAUUUCUUUUUCAUUGAUUGACCUGCACUGUAUAUUAAUCCCUUCCUCCCGUGCUUUUUGAAAGAGCCUGUCCACCCGCACUAGAUCAGUAGGCAGUUGCUCCUUGUAAAAUGUCUCAGCAGAGUAAUUUGGAUUUGCACCAAUAGUUACUGUAAAGUAGGCAAAUGUAACAGAAAACUUCUGCAGUAAAUAUGCCAGAUCAACAGUCCAAAUGCUAGUUGUGCAGCAUAAUUCUG